UGGGGAAUUUUGGACAAUGGGCGCAAGCCUGAUCCAGCAAUGCCGCGUGCAGGAUGAAGGCCUUCGGGUUGUAAACUGCUUUUGUACGGAGCGAAAAGGUCUGCCCUAAUACGGUGGGCUCAUGGCGGUACCGUAAGAAUAAGCACCGGCUAACUACGUGCCAGCGGCCGCGGUAAUACGUAGGGUGCAAGCGUUAAUCGGAAUUACUGGGCGUAAAGCGUGCGCAGGCGGUUAUGCAAGACAGAGGUGAAAUCCCCGGGCUCAACCUGGGACCUGCAUUUGUGACUGUAUAGAUCGAGUACGGUAGAGGGGGAUGGAAUUCCACGUGUAGCAGUGAAAUGCGUAGAUAUGCGGAGGAACACCGAUGGCGAAGGCAAUCCCCUGGACCUGUACUGACGCUCAUGCACGAAAGCGUGGGGAGCAAACA
rnacentral:rRNA from 1 species